rnacentral:rRNA from 1 species
CGCCCCUUGAAAGGUUUUUACCAAAGAAUAAGGGGUACUGCCUGCCCAGUGACGUAGAAGUUAAACGGCCGCGGUAUUUUGACCGUGCAAAGGUAGCAUAAUCAUUUGCCUUUUAAAUGGAGGCUGGAAUGAAUGGCAAGACGGAAAUUUGACUGUCUCUUUCUUAAUUACCCUGAAAUUAAUAUUCUAGUGAAGAAGCUAGAAUUCGGUCGUGGGACGAGAAGACCCUGUUGAGCUUUAGUGGUUAGAAUAAUCAUAAUUUUUUUGUUUAGAGCUAAUUUUAAGUAUUUAACUUAAAUAGAGUUUACUUUAGAUAAAAGGAAUGUUGUAUUUUAUUCUGCUUUGGUUGGGGCAACCGCGGAGAAUAUAAAACCUCCGCUAUAAAAAGUAUAAAAUUAUAAUUUUUACUAGAAAAGUUUUUGUAAAAGUGAUCCACUGUAAAGUGAUCAAAGGAAUAAGUUACCACAGGGAUAACAGCGUAAUUUUUUUGGAGAGUUCAUAUUGAUAAAAAAGUUUGCGACCUCGAUGUUGGAUCGAGACUUCCUGGAGGUGUAGCAGCUUCCGAGGGUUGGUCUGUUCGACCAUUAAAGUC